UUCAGGUGACUGAGAUAUAAGUAUUGAUUUUUGUUAUAGAAAGCGUGAUUAUUUGCCUUUGAGACCUAG
rnacentral:tRNA from 1 species